rnacentral:lncRNA from 1 species
CGAUAUCAAACUGUGAAAGACAAGUGUAUAUGUGUAUGGCUGGCCGGCCGGCCAGCAUGCAUGCAUGCUAAUUAAUUUGUUUAGAGUUUAAUCGAGCUAAACAAUGCUACUGAUUCCUGCCUGGUGCACAUAUAUGCAGCAUGCAGUUUCAAGGCAAAAGGGAAGAAAAAGAUGGCAUGCCUGAUGCUUUGUUUUAUUCACCAUCAGGUGGCUAGCUAGCGACCGGAGCAGGCGGUACCCACCCCAUGGGCAUACUACAGGUGGGCUUCAUUUUUAUGUUUGCUAUCAAGUGUUUUUAUUUUUGCUACAACUUUCGCUCAGAGCCCCGAUAGAGCUAGUAUAUACUCCCUUUAUCCCGAAAUACUUGUCAUAUGAAUAAAUGUAUCUACAUGUAUUUUAGUUUUACAUACAUUCAUUUUCAUUUAUUUGUAAACAAAUAAUUUCGGAAGGAGGGAGUAUAUUGCUUAAUCCAACUAUGCCAAUAUGAAUCCAACUAUGUCAAUAUGAAUGGACGUGCGUCAAAUAAAAAACAAGCACCCAUGAUAAGCCACUCUUUUUAAAAUAAAAAAAUGGGUGUUCCGACGGCAUGUCUUAAGCUCUUGCUUAGUUCGGGCCGCCCACUGCAUGCAUGUUUUGUGAGUGACUGCGUGGUCCACCAACUUCCACUUGCUCAUGUUUAUUAUUUUGACAAAUUUUAAAUCUACUAUAUUUUUGAACUAAAAGUUCAGUUUAUGUUUCAUUUGCAUUUUUAUCUUCCUUGUGAUGAAUACUUUCAAACAAGCCCACUCUUAAAUACAUUUGACAAGUUCAAUUUUUUACAAUAUUAAAACUUGAUCGUCGUAAUAUUAAGUUUUGCCAAGUUUUACCAAGAUUCCAAUGUUUAAACUUAAUCAUAAAUCCCUAAACUCUAAACCGUAAACCCUAAAAUAUUAUAAACUUAAUCCUAAAACCCUAAACCAUAAACAAAAACUUAAUAUUAUAAAUUUUCCUACGCUCACCAAGAUCAAUCUAUGGAGAUCAAUAUCUAUGAGAGGGGGAGUGCAUCUACAUACUCUUGUAGAAUGCUAAGUGAAAGUGUUAAGAAAUGUGGUUGAUAUAGUCGAACAUCUUCGUGAUCCAAUCACGAUCCGUCCAGCAAUCCAAUCACGAACGUCCCGAUCAAGUGUCGAACGGACGUCGACCUCCGCGUUCAGCAUACGUAAAGCUCGAUGACGCUUUCACCACCUUGAUCCAGCAAGUGUGGAUGAAGUGUUUUCUGAGUUCUCGGGCCGCACGACGGCUUGGUGGCGGUGGUGGUGGUGCUAUUCCGGCAGAGCUACGUCGAGCACUACCGAAUCUGCAAACGGAGGAGAAGACAGGAAGAAAGAGGGCGCAAAGGGCUUGGUGUGUCCUCUUGCCCCCCCCCCUCUAUAUAUAGGUGUAGGGGCAUGGGGACAGCUCCUCCAAGACCUAGGCCGCAUCCAAGGUGGAAGGAGGUGGAAUCCGAGUCCUCCUCCUUCCCUUCCAUACAAAGGUGGACUUUCCACCUUUCCCAGUUGCAUGUGUCUUCAGGGAGUUGUGCGCCUGGCCUAAUAAGACCAGGGGGCUCCCCUUAGUGCAUGCAAACCCUUGGGACGUGGUGGAACCCUUGGUGGACUUCCCUCAGUUUUCGGAACCUUCUAGAAGCUUCCUGGUACAAUACCGGAAAAACCUAAAACUUUUCCGGUAAACAAAAUAUGACUUCCCAUAUAUAAAUAUUUACCUCCGGACCAUUUUGGAACUCCUAAUGAAGUCCGGGAUCUCAUCCGGGACUUUGAAAAACCUUUGAUCACCAAUACAAUAACUCAACUAUAUAUAUAUAUAUAUUGUCACAGAACAUUAGGUAUGCAGACCCUGCUGGUUCGAGAACUAUGCACACAUGACCGAGACACAUAUACGGUCAAUAACCAAUAGCGGGACCUUGAUGCCCAUAUUGGUUCCUACAUGAAAUGGCUUAACUUAUUUCUACCGGGGUCUCCUUUGCAAUGGAAAAAAGCGCGGGAGAGCAACUUCUCAUAAAAAUCUCACUUAGAAGCGAAGGGGCAUACCCUAUGAACAUUGAAAAAACUAAGGUAUGACAAUUUGGCAGCAAAAUGAUAAGGUAAAAACAAAUAUAGGUCAGGGGUAUUAUAGACUUUUCAUAGGAGCUUAUUUGGACCUUAUUUUCACAUGAGCUAAUUUCCACACUAAACUCAAAAGAACUAGCAAUUCAAGUGGCUAAAUUUUAACCACAUAUAUUCUUCCAUGCUUUCUCUAUCAUAGGUGACUACUAGAAAUUUUUGAGCAUAUCCUUUUGACUGGGUGACAAAAACAUUCUUCUCACAAAAGUAAGUUUGCUUCAAAAAAUUAAGUAUACAUGAGCUUGAUGGUUUGUAUUCAAGUAUUGUCAAAAGAUAGGUGGAAUCGUGAUAGAAAGAAUACCAUGGUGAAACCUGAAGCAUGCACAUAUAUAAUUUUUUCCCUAACAUAAUAAGAAAUAUCAAGAUGUUCUUAUACAAUUUAAACCGAGUACCAAGGUCUUGAAAUAUUACAAAUUCAUAGAUGCUUAUAGUGUACAUGUUAUAAUACACUAUAAUAUUACUAUGUACUUCUGACCAAAUUUAUAGUGAUGGUGGAAUGCUGCAGAUAUAGAAGAGUUCUAUUUUCACCGACGAGUUAAAUUUUGGUAUGUCCAAAUCUUUAAUGUAUCGAUUCAUAAUAUUAAAUGACAGAUGCGGUUUGAGUUUUUUAUCUAUACAUUGUAGGUUUCUUAAAGGUGAACAAAUUUAUUGGGGUUUGGAAGAUCUAUGGCUGCUGAAGAUUUGGAAGACAAACAAUUAAGUUGAAGUGAAAAUGCAAUAUGCCUUGUUUGCUGAACCUGGAGAUACUGUCAACUUUUACUCUCUCAUUUUGGUGGUUGUUUUGCCACAUAAGUCAUUGUAUGCUCAUUUUGGUUUUGUGGCACAUCUAGAAACAUAUGUACUUCUCCUUUUUUUGGCACAACGUCCUUUUGUGUUGUUGUUCAUGCAUGUAUUUGUAUUUAUCAAAUGAAGUUUAAGAUUUUGGGUUAUGCAUA